rnacentral:rRNA from 1 species
UACGGAGGGAGCUAGCGUUGUUCGGAAUUACUGGACGUAAAGCGCGCGUAGGCGGCUUUGUAAGUUAGAGGUGAAAGCCCGGGGCUCAACCCCGGAACUGCCUUUAAGACUGCAUCGCUUGAAUCCGGGAGAGGUGAGUGGAAUUCCGAGUGUAGAGGUGAAAUUCGUAGAUAUUCGGAAGAACACCAGUGGCGAAGGCGGCUCACUGGACCGGUAUUGACGCUGAGGUGCGAAAGCGUGGGGAGCAAACAGG